GUGAGGCAAAGGGAAUUUUGGGAUGAAUGCUCCAGAUGCUUCGUGGGGCACAGCUGGAAAAUGAAAUGCCGCUGCCUUCAUAAGGCUGGGAGCUAAAUGGGAAAGGAUUUGGUAUUGAGUUGUCCUGGAAUUAAUGGGUGCAAGACUCUGGGAAUAGGAAUUCCUGAAAAUCCAGUUCACUGCAUUUGCACAUGGACAUUGAAAAUUUUGGUUAUAAUAUGCAAUUUAAGACUGUAUGUACUGCUAUUUUUUUAAAGUGUUGGGUAUUUUUCUUUGAUCUCUUUAUUCGUGGAUCCACACAAUCAAUGACAUUGAAAAGAAGGAAAAAGCCUAGUCUUGAACACCUGGCCCAACCUCAUGGGAGAUGUCUCAUGGCCCUUCCUCACCAAAUCCUUGCCCUUGUUUCCAUCCUGGUUCUUGCUCCCCAAGCUGAUAAUCCAGCAAGAAACUGUUUACUCGACAGGCAGAUUUCCCCCCUCCAUUCCAUCUAUUGAUCACCAGCACCUGGCAGAGGAAAACCCUGCAGAAUUCCCAGUAAGAGCUGAGACCUUUGCUUGGAGGAAGUGUUGCUGAGCUGUGGGUAAACACCAUCCUGGCAGCUUCCAGCGUGAUGAGUUUGUAAUCAGCAUGUGGGUCUCAGCAUUUCCAUCUCUCAGACAUAAGUAUCCCUGCAUUUUGUGUUUGGGAGCUUUGCAAAAUGAAGGUCAGCUCCGGAGCUGCUGGGUUUGGAGUCACGUUUGUCCAGUCCCCAGGGAAAGGCCUGAGAGGAGAGAAAGUCCCCCCAGCAGAAGAACUUCCACAAAUGGGAACCUUUAAACUCAGAACUGCUCAAGAUGAAGGAAGUCACAUUCCCGACCCUUCCCAUUUGCCCUCUUUGCUCCCCUUUGAUCAGGGAUUUUUGACCAAGCCAAGCCUUGCAACUCUCUCUGGGGAAAAUCCUACAGGGAAGUAGUACUAGUCCUCUACUCCCUUGUCCUAUCGCCAAGCUGAAAAGAAAAAAGGAAAAACUACAGCUUUUUUUUCACCCUCCAAUGCCCUAAAAAUUAUUUCCAAACAAAAUAAAUGUGGCAGGUUGUGGGAAAUGGAUUUGUAAAGAAUUCUCAAAAGCUGUCAGAAAACUCAGUCUUAUAUAUCUGUAUACAAAUACUAAAAUUAAGUGUGCUAACUUAAGAAAGCCAUAGAAUAGAGAUGACAUUGUUAAGAGAGAAAUUAAACUAAAACCAAGUUUCAACAACUUUCAAAAUGUAGCCUUACAAAAAUACUAGAUAUUUUAGAAAACUAGAACUGUGAAAGAUGCGUUGUAGCAACACCACCUAGAGAAAAAACAGAGGUGAUUAGUGCUAGAAGUAAUGGCAACAUUGUGUGGCAAAAACAAAUAAGCUGAAAAACAUUUAUAAAGUAUUGUAACCAAGAAAUAGGUUAGCUUCUGACACGAAUAGCAUUUUUACAUCUCAUCAUCAAGACUGAUAAUGGAAUAAAAUCGUUUAAAAUGCCUCUCAGUUGCCUCAUCGCUGUAAAAACUUAGAAAACCAACACCAGCUUAGCUCCUUGUGAGCCCCAAGGAUGAGCUGUGUCUCCCUGCAGCUCUGCCAGGCUCUGACCAUUCCUGUAGAUAUGCUCCUGUCUUCCCAAACCUGGCAUCCCAUCCCUAUAUCCUUCCAUCUUCUGGGUCCCCACUUGUCCAAAGCUCAUCAGCUUUCCCACCCUGCUGAUCUGUUCCCAACUUCCCCAAACCAGGAACUCUGGCCCACUCAGUGCUCUCUCCUUAAUCUACUCCCUGGUCAUACUCAGAAUUAUCCUGAACUAUAUAUAAUGAAAUUAACAUAAUUAAUAGCUUCAAUUUUUUUCUUUGCUGGGUUGUUCGGGUUUUUUGGUGGUUUUUUUUUUUUUUUUUGUUUUUUUUUUUUUUUUUUGGUUUGGUUUGGUUUGGUUUUAAAUAUGCUCCGUAAGACUAAAAUAAAAUUUAGUUCCUGCACUUCAUUACAGGUCUGUUAAUCAAGCAGUUCCCUGCCUGAGCUCAUGGAAUGUUACAGGAUUUCAGCAUUGCCAGUAUUCUGUCAGGUUCUAGAGAUAACCACAGCCUAAAUUGAAAAGCAGAUCCCAUUGCACCUCUGGAGCACAGAAAAUGGAAAGGAUCAACCUCAGUUUCCAGUUCCCGGAUUUGUUAUACAGGGAUUAGGGUUGGUAGGUUUUGAGGGGGGGCCAGUCUGCACAUUUCAAAAGCUGGGGCUCCUCCUGCUUAUCAGGCUGUUUUAGAAAGGUAUCGCUUUGUUUUUAUAUAGGUUUCCUUUUUCCACAGGAAUUUGCUCAAAGGAGAGAAAUUCCCAUUCUAUCUAAGCCCACAGGCUGGCUAACUUUCAUAAUAAAAUGAGACCCAGACAAAAUAGACUUCUCUGAAUAAGGAUUGAAAGCUCAGUGUAUGUUUUUUGCCUGAAUAAGAUUAAAAUACAAAGUUUUUAUCAGAAAUGUUAAACAUCGAUAUUUUGGGAGCCAAGUCAAUAAAAAAAUUCAGAAGGUAUUUGAGUUCAAAGGAGAUUAAAUGAAGUCUAAUGGUAUGAUUAGUCAAAACUGACAUAAUUCCAAUCCAAUGCAGUGAAAAAUUGAUUAAAUGCUGCUAAAUGAUAGAUUUCCCUACACAGCCAUGGAUGGGAAAUCCUUACAAAAGGUAUUUCAGUUUCAGUUCUUCUUCCCUUCCAUGAAGCAAUUGUUUACUGAAGUCUCCAGCUGCAGAACCAGGCUGGGACACUCCUUUGCUCCACUUUAAACUUCAUGCAAAGCAGAUCAAGCCUUAGUUUAUGGACAAAGCCCUGGCACAGGAAGGGAGGAGGUUGGUCACACAUGCCAAGGAAGCUCUGAAAAGCAGCCCAAAACUGCCCAGGGCUUUAUAUUUGCCUGACUUAGCUAAUUUGGAUGGGCCCAGCUUACCACACUCUCCAGGAUGUUUAUGCCCAUCCUCUCUCUAAUUUACUCUUUCAGUCAUCAUUUUGUAUUUGUAAAUUAGAUCAAGUAAUUCUGUCUUUAUUUCCUCACUGCUAAGGAAAAUAUUGUGACAAAUGCUGCAGCCCCAACCAAAGCAUCCUCUUAAAUAACAAUCUUCUGUUCAAUUUCUUUUUUUCAGCCACUUUAGUGUAUCACAGCCGUUUAAAGAAGAAUACCCCGAGGCUAUAAGUCAAAUUUAGGCUGAUCAUAGUCUGACUGUCUUAGAUCUUUAAUUCUGGAGAGCAUCUACAGAGGUUGUCAUCCCAAACUUUUAAUCACCUCAGAAAAUAUUACUUUUUUUAACUCUUUUUUUUUCCCCUCAAAGAGAUGUGCUGUGUAACUGUGGAGUAAAAAAAAAAGCUCUUACUGAAAGGAUAUUCAGCCCAGUGCUGAAAUAUAUCAUGAAAAUCAAUAAUUGAAAGGCAAAGAUGCUGCCAAGGGCCAGGUUUUACUAUAGAUGGAAUGGGUAACAUGGGGCUCAUGAUGUGCCUAAUAGCAACUUUUUACCUUUAUUUCUAUGAAUAGAAUAAUUUUAUCUUUAUUUCUAUGGCUCUUUCUAUGAAUGGAAGAGUCCAAAUAGUUCUUGACAAAUGAGCAGAUCCAAUGCCUGCCCUCUUACCCGCCCCCCUGGGAAAUUUGUAUCUGAGCCCUUCAUCUCUUCAGCUGAUUUGGUCAGUACAGUCAUUAGAAAAACAAUGGGUUUU
ensembl:lncRNA